UACAGAGGGUGCGAGCGUUAAUCGGAGUUACUGGGCGUAAAGGGCGCGUAGGCGGUUAGGAAGGUGUGAUGUGAAAGCCCUGGGCUUAACCUAGGAAGUGCAUCGCAAACCACCAAACUGGAGUAUAGGAGAGGGUGGCGGAAUUUCCGGUGUAGCGGUGAAAUGCGUAGAGAUCGGAAGGAACGUCGAUGGCGAAGGCAGCCACCUGGCCUAAUACUGACGCUGAGGCGCGAAAGCGUGGGGAGCAAACAGGAUUAGAUACCCUGGUAGUCCACGCUGUAAACGAUGAGGACUAGAUGUUGGUAGGGGAACCUAUUGGUAUCGAAGCAAACGCGAUAAGUCUUCCGCCUGGGAAGUACGGCCGCAAGGUUGAA
rnacentral:rRNA from 1 species